AGAGUUUGAUCAUGGCUCAGAUUGAACGCUGGCGGCAGGCCUAACACAUGCAAGUCGAGCGGUAGCACAGAGAGCUUGCUCUCGGGUGACGAGCGGCGGACGGGUGAGUAAUGUCUGGGAAACUGCCUGAUGGAGGGGGAUAACUACUGGAAACGGUAGCUAAUACCGCAUAAUGUCGCAAGACCAAAGUGGGGGACCUUCGGGCCUCAUGCCAUCAGAUGUGCCCAGAUGGGAUUAGCUAGUAGGUGGGGUAACGGCUCACCUAGGCGACGAUCCCUAGCUGGUCUGAGAGGAUGACCAGCCACACUGGAACUGAGACACGGUCCAGACUCCUACGGGAGGCAGCAGUGGGGAAUAUUGCACAAUGGGCGCAAGCCUGAUGCAGCCAUGCCGCGUGUGUGAAGAAGGCCUUCGGGUUGUAAAGCACUUUCAGCGGGGAGGAAGGCGAUAAGGUUAAUAACCUUGGCGAUUGACGUUACCCGCAGAAGAAGCACCGGCUAACUCCGUGCCAGCAGCCGCGGUAAUACGGAGGGUGCAAGCGUUAAUCGGAAUUACUGGGCGUAAAGCGCACGCAGGCGGUCUGUCAAGUCGGAUGUGAAAUCCCCGGGCUCAACCUGGGAACUGCAUUCGAAACUGGCAGGCUAGAGUCUUGUAGAGGGGGGUAGAAUUCCAGGUGUAGCGGUGAAAUGCGUAGAGAUCUGGAGGAAUACCGGUGGCGAAGGCGGCCCCCUGGACAAAGACUGACGCUCAGGUGCGAAAGCGUGGGGAGCAAACAGGAUUAGAUACCCUGGUAGUCCACGCCGUAAACGAUGUCGAUUUGGAGGUUGUGCCCUUGAGGCGUGGCUUCCGGAGCUAACGCGUUAAAUCGACCGCCUGGGGAGUACGGCCGCAAGGUUAAAACUCAAAUGAAUUGACGGGGGCCCGCACAAGCGGUGGAGCAUGUGGUUUAAUUCGAUGCAACGCGAAGAACCUUACCUGGUCUUGACAUCCACAGAACUUUCCAGAGAUGGAUUGGUGCCUUCGGGAACUGUGAGACAGGUGCUGCAUGGCUGUCGUCAGCUCGUGUUGUGAAAUGUUGGGUUAAGUCCCGCAACGAGCGCAACCCUUAUCCUUUGUUGCCAGCGGUUAGGCCGGGAACUCAAAGGAGACUGCCAGUGAUAAACUGGAGGAAGGUGGGGAUGACGUCAAGUCAUCAUGGCCCUUACGACCAGGGCUACACACGUGCUACAAUGGCAUAUACAAAGAGAAGCGACCUCGCGAGAGCAAGCGGACCUCAUAAAGUAUGUCGUAGUCCGGAUUGGAGUCUGCAACUCGACUCCAUGAAGUCGGAAUCGCUAGUAAUCGUAGAUCAGAAUGCUACGGUGAAUACGUUCCCGGGCCUUGUACACACCGCCCGUCACACCAUGGGAGUGGGUUGCAAAAGAAGUAGGUAGCUUAACCUUCGGGAGGGCGCUUACCACUUUGUGAUUCAUGACUGGGGUGAAGUCGUAACAAGGUAACCGUAGGGGAACCUGCGGUUG
rnacentral:rRNA from 1 species